CCUCGCGAGAGGGAGGGAGCCGCCGAAGGUGGGGCCGGUGACUGGGGUGAAGUCGUAACAAGGUAGCCGUACGGGAACGUGCGGCUGGAUCACCUCCUUUCUAAGGAG
rnacentral:rRNA from 1 species